ACAAUGGAGAGUUUGAUCCUGGCUCAGGAUGAACGCUAGCGGCAGGCUUAAUACAUGCAAGUCGAGGGGCAGCAGGACUGUAGCAAUACAGUUGCUGGCGACCGGCAAACGGGUGCGGAACACGUACGCAACCUUCCUUUAAGUGAGGAAUAGCCCAGGGAAACUUGGAUUAAUACCUCGUAAUAUUUGAGAGUGGCAUCACUCUUCAAUUAUAGCUCAGGCGCUUAAAGAUGGGCGUGCGACUGAUUAGGUAGUUGGCGGGGUAACGGCCCACCAAGCCUGCGAUCAGUAACUGGUGUGAGAGCACGACCAGUCACACGGGCACUGAGACACGGGCCCGACUCCUACGGGAGGCAACAGUAAGGAAUAUUGGUCAAUGGACGCAAGUCUGAACCAGCCAUGCCGCGUGGAGGAUGAAGGUCCUCUGGAUUGUAAACUUCUUUUAUUUGGGAAGAAACCCAUAUUUUCUAAUGUGGUUGACGGUACCAGAUGAAUAAGCACCGGCUAACUCCGUGCCAGCAGCCGCGGUAAUACGGAGGGUGCAAGCGUUAUCCGGAUUCACUGGGUUUAAAGGGUGCGUAGGCGGGUUGGUAAGUCCGUGGUGAAAUCUCCAAGCUUAACUUGGAAACUGCCGUGGAUACUAUCAAUCUUGAAUAUCGUGGAGGUAAGCGGAAUAUGUCAUGUAGCGGUGAAAUGCUUAGAUAUGACAUAGAACACCAAUUGCGUAGGCAGCUUACUACACGAUCAUUGACGCUGAGGCACGAAAGCGUGGGGAUCAAACAGGAUUAGAUACCCUGGUAGUCCACGCCCUAAACGAUGGAUACUCGACAUACGCGAUACACUGUGUGUGUC
rnacentral:rRNA from 1 species